rnacentral:rRNA from 1 species
AUUGAACGCUGGCGGCAGGCCUAACACAUGCAAGUCGAGCGAGCGGCGGACGGGUGAGUAAUGUAUGGGAAACUGCCUGAUGGAGGGGGACAGCUACUGGAAACGGUUACUAAUUCCGUCUAGCAGAAGCUGGGCCCAGGUGGGAUUAGCUAGUAGGUGGGGUAAUGGCUCACCUAGGCGACGAUCCCUAGCUGGUCUGAGAGGAUGACCAGCCACACUGGAACUGAGACACGGUCCAGACUCCUACGGGAGGCAGCAGUGGGGAAUAUUGCACAAUGGGCGCAAGCCUGAUGCAGCCAUGCCGCGUGUGUGAAGAAGGCCUUCGGGUUGUAAAGCACUUUCAGCGAGGAGGCGUUACUCGCAGAAGAAGCACCGGCUAACUCCGUGCCAGCAGCCGCGGUAAUAC